UCAUUUUUUUUUCUCAAACCACAUGCACAUGUCAUCCUCUACAUAGAACUGUUGCUUUAGUUAAAAAGAAAAACUGCAUCUUCCUCUCCUCUCAGUCGAUCCCCUUUAGUCCUCCUCACCCACAUGCGCCACCGGUUCUGAUUAGCAGCCAGCGAAGUACUAAACGCGAGCCCUAAUCGUGGCGACCUAAAAUGGGGCACGCAGCAGAGGCAAACUUGUGUGGCUGGGUCUCAGCUCGAUGGAGGAGGGCCAUCAAUGGGAGGGCAGCGUUCAGCCCAAAAUUUGGUUGCCGAAGCCCGAAGGGGAGGUUGAUGUACACGUGCUGGAUCUGCGGCACAAUAUAGAGGUUUUCCUUCCAGCUAUGGUCAGGUCUCAAGGGUCAGGUUUUCUUCGAAGAGUGAUGAUAUCAUAUCUCAAAAGAACUCGGAUGGAUUACCUGAUUUAGUAGGUUUUCUUGAUUUGUCGUAGUGAGAAGCAACUCAAAAGGUUGGGCAUGAAAUCAUCUGGCAUCGGCACCAAGUUGCACAUGAAACUUUGGUUUUUCCUGGCUUCGAUCUUUGUCAGGCAUAGUAUUGGCUGACUUUGAUUUUUGUGAUUGUGUUUUGGUCCCGUAGUUCGGGCUGGCUUCUACUUUCUUGGGUGUGUGCCUGGUUUGGCCGACUAGAUGUGUUUGGUUUUCCGUGGUUGUGGAAUUAUGUAUGUUGUAUCCUACUCCGUAAAUCUUAUUUGCAUGCA